AUUGAACGCUGGCGGCAUGCCUUACACAUGCAAGUCGAACGGUAACGCGGGGCAACCUGGCGACGAGUGGCGAACGGGUGAGUAAUGCAUCGGAACGUGCCCGGUAGUGGGGGAUAACUGCUCGAAAGAGCAGCUAAUACCGCAUACGACCUGAGGGUGAAAGGGGGGGAUCGCAAGACCUCUCGCUAUCGGAGCGGCCGAUGUCGGAUUGGCUAGUUGGUGGGGUAAAGGCCUACCAAGGCGACGAUCCGUAGCUGGUCUGAGAGGACGACCAGCCACACUGGGACUGAGACACGGCGCAGACUCCUACUGGAGGCAGCAGUGGGGAAUUUUGGACAAUGGACGCAAGUCUGAUCCAGCCAUGCCGCGUGCGGGAAGAAGGCCUUCGGGUUGUAAACCGCUUUUGUCAGGGAAGAAAUCUUCUGAGUUAAUACCCCGGGAGGAUGACGGUACUUGAAGAAUAAGAAGCACCGGCUAACUACGUGCCAGCCGCCGCGGUAAGAC
rnacentral:rRNA from 1 species